rnacentral:rRNA from 1 species
GAAGAACCUUACCUGGGCUUGACAUGUACGUAGUAAUGAAGGGAAACCGGAACGAGCCUUCGGGCAGCGUAGACAGGUGCUGCAUGGCUGUCGUCAGCUCGUGUCGUGAGAUGUUGGGUUAAGUCCCGCAACGAGCGCAACCCGUGUUGCUAGUUACAAGUGUCUAGCGAGACUGCCGGUAACAAGCCGGAGGAAGGUGCGGAUGAUGUCAAGUCAGCAUGGCCUAUAUGUCCAGGGCUACACACACGCUACAAUGGCUGGUACAAAGAGAAGCGAAAGGGAGACCUGAAGCGAAUCUCAUCAAAGCCAGUCAUAGUUCGGAUUGCAGGCUGCAACUCGCCUGCAUGAAGUCGGAGUUGCUAGUAACCGCAGGUCAGCAAUACUGCGGUGAAUACGUUCCCGGGCCUUGUACACAC